rnacentral:rRNA from 1 species
CCUACGGGUGGCUGCAGUAGGGAAUCUUCCACAAUGGGCGAAAGCCUGAUCGAGCAACGCCGCGUGGGUGAAGAAGGUCUUCGGAUCGUACAACCCUGUUUUUAGAGAAGAAAGUGCGUGAGAGUAACUGUUCACGUUUCGACGGUAUCUAACCAGCAAGCCACGGCUAACUACGUGCCCGCAGCCGCGGUAAUACGUAGGUGGCAAGCGUUAUCCGGAUUUAUUGGGCGUAAAGGGAACGCAGGCGGUCUUUUAAGUCUGAUGUGAAAGCCUUCGGCUUAACCGGAGUAGUGCAUUGGAAACUGGGAGACUGGAGGGCAGAAGAGGAGAGUGGAACUCCAGGUGUAGCGGUGAAAUGCGUAGAGAUAUGGAAGAACACCAGUUGCGAAGGCGGCUCUCUGGUCUGUAACUGACGCUGAGGUUCGAAAGCGUGGGUAGCAAACAGGAUUAGAUACCCGGGUAGUC